CCUACGGGAGGCAGCAGUGAGGAAUAUUGGUCAAUGGACGAGAGUCUGAACCAGCCAAGUAGCGUGAAGGAUGACUGCCCUAUGGGUUGUAAACUUCUUUUAUAUGGGAAUAAAACGUUCCACGUGUGGGAUUUUGUAUGUACCAUAUGACUAAGGAUCGGCUAACUCCGUGCCAGCAGCCGCGGUAAUACGGAGGAUCCGAGCGUUAUCCGGAUUUAUUGGGUUUAAAGGGAGCGUAGGUGGAUUGUUAAGUCAGUUGUGAAAGUUUGCGGCUCAACCGUAAAAUUGCAGUUGAAACUGGCAGUCGUGAGUACAGUAGAGGUGGGCGGAAUUCGUGGUGUAGCGGUGAAAUGCUUAGAUAUCACGAAGAACUCCGAUUGCGAAGGCAGCUCACUGGACUGCAACUGACACUGAGGCUCGAAAGUGUGGGUAUCAAACAGGAUUAGAUACCCUUGUAGUC
rnacentral:rRNA from 1 species